rnacentral:tRNA from 1 species
GGCAAGGUAGUUUAAUUUAAAAAUAUUUGUUUUACACGCAGAAGAUGAGGUUUUCUAUUGUCA